rnacentral:rRNA from 1 species
GAGGUGAUGGGGAGCGAAAUUUAGUAGCGAAGUAGCUGAUUUCACACUGUCAAGAAAAGUCUCUAUCGAGGUUAAAGGUACCCGUACCGCAAACCGACACAGGUGGGUGAGGAGAGUAUCCUAAGGCCAGCGAGAGAACUGUUGUUAAGGAACUCGGCAAAAUGACCCCGUAACUUAGGGAUAAGGGGUGCCACCAUCAGGUGGCCGCAGAGAAUAGGCCCAAGCGACUGUUUACCAAAAACAUAGGUUUCUGCUAAGUCGCAAGACGAUGUAUAGGAGCUGACGCCUGCCCGGUGCUGGAAGGUUAAGGGGAUCUGUUAGAGUAAUCGAAGCAGUGAACUUAAGCCCCAGUAAACGGCGGCCGUAACUAUAACGGUCCUAAGGUAGCGAAAUUCCUUGUCGGGUAAGUUCCGACCCGCACGAAAGGCGUAACGAUUUGGGCACUGUCUCA